GACGAACGCUGGCGGCGUGCUUAACACAUGCAAGUCGAACGGAAAGGCCCCUUUGGGGGUACUCGAGUGGCGCACGGGUGAGUAACACGUCAGUAACCUGCCCUUGACUUCGGGAUAACUUCAGGAAACUGGGGCUAAUACCGGCUAGGAAUCCUUGCUGCAUGGUGGGGGUUGGAAAGCUUCGGCGGUUUUGGAUGGACUCGCGGCUUAUCAGCUUGUUGGUGGGGUAGUGGCUUACCUAGGCUUUGACGGGUAGCCGGCCUGAGAGGGCGACCGGCCACAUUGGGACUGAGAUACGGCCCAGACUCCUACGGGAGGCAGCAGUGGGGAAUAUUGCACAAUGGGCGGAAGCCUGAUGCAGCAACGCCGCGUGCGGGAUGACGGCCUUCGGGUUGUAAACCGCUUUCAGCAGGGGCGAAGCUUGUGGUGACGGUACCUGCAGAAGAAGCACCGGCUAACUACGUG
rnacentral:rRNA from 1 species